rnacentral:hammerhead_ribozyme from 1 species
AUUCAGUCGACGAAUCCUAAACAGAACGAAACACACGUCCUGGAU